rnacentral:rRNA from 1 species
AUUGAACGCUGGCGGCAGGCCUAACACAUGCAAGUCGAACGAGUGGCGGACGGGUGAGUAAUGUCUGGGAAACUGCCUGAUGGAGGGGGAUAACUACUGGAAACGGUAGCUAAUACCGCAUACCAUCAGAUGUGCCCAGAUGGGAUUAGCUUGUAGGUAAGGUAACGGCUUUCCUAGGCGACGAUCCCUAGCUGGUCUGAGAGGAUGAUCAUCCACACUGGGACUGAGACACGGCCCAGACUCCUACGGGAUGCAGCAGUGGGGAAUAUUGGACAAUGGGCGCAAGCCUGAUGCAUCCAUGCCGCGAGUAUGAAGAAGGCCUUCGGGUUGUAAAGUACUUUCAGUCGGGAGGCGUUACCGACAGAAGAAGCACCGGCUAACUCCGUGCCAGCAGCCGCGGUAAUUC